UACGUAGGAAGCGAGCGUUAUCCGAAUUUACUGGGCGUAAAGUGGGCGUAGGCGGCCUUUCAAGUUGGAUGUGAAAUCUCCUGGCUUAACUGGGAGGGGUCAUCCAAAACUGCUAGGCUGGAGGACAGCAGGGGAAAGUGGAAUUCCCGGUGUAGUGGUGAAAUGCGUAGAUAUCGGGAGGAACACCAGUGGCGAAGGCGGCUUUCCAGGCUGUUUCUGACGCUGAGGCCCUAAAGUGUGGGGAGCGAACAGGAUUAGAUACCCUGGUAGUCCACACCUUAAACUAUGGAUACUUGGUAUAGGGAGUUUCGACCCUCUCUGUGCCGAAGCUAACGCUUUAAGUAUCCCGCCUGGGAACUACGGCCGCAAGGCUAAA
rnacentral:rRNA from 1 species